rnacentral:rRNA from 1 species
UUAGAGUUUCCUUUUGGCUCAGGAUGAACGCUAGCGGCAGGCUUAACACAUGCAAGUCGAGGGGCAGCGCGGGAUAGCAAUAUCCUGGCGGCGACCGGCGGAAGGGUGCGUAACGCGUGAGCGACAUGCCCGUUGCCCGGGGACAACCGGUGGAAACGCCGACUAAUCCCCGAUGGGAUACGAUGCUUCAUGGCAUUGUAUUGAAAGUUACGGCGGCGACGGAUUGGCUCGCGUCCGAUUAGCUUGUUGGCGGGGUAACGGCCCACCAAGGCUACGAUCGGUAGGGGUUCUGAGAGGAAGGCCCCCCACAAUGGGACUGAGACACGGCCCAUACUCCUACGGGAGGCAGCAGUGAGGAAUAUUGGUCAAUGGGCGGAAGCCUGAACCAGCCAUGCCGCGUGCGGGAAGGAGGCCCUAUGGGCUGUGAACCGCUUUUGCCUGGGGGCAAUAAGGGCGUCGCGCACGUCCGAUGAGAGUACCAGGCGAAUAAGCAUCGGCUAACUCCGUGCCAGCAGCCGCGGUAAUACGGGGGAUGCGAGCGUUAUCCGGAUUCAUUGGGUUUAAAGGGUGCGUAGGCUGUGCGUCAAGUCGGGGGUGAAAUUCCGGUGCUCAACACCGGGGCUGCCCUUGAUACUGUCGCGCUGGAGUGCGGAUGCCGCCGGAGGAAUGAGUGGUGUAGCGGUGAAAUGCUUAGAUAUCACUAAGAACACCGAUUGCGAAGGCAUCUGGCGAAUCCGUAACUGACGCUGAGGCACGAAAGCGUGGGGAUCCACAAGGAUUAGAUACCCUGGUAUUCCACGCCGUAA